CCUACGGGGGGCAGCAGUGAGGAAUAUUGGUCAAUGGGCGCGAGCCUGAACCAGCCAAGUAGCGUGAAGGAUGACUGCCCUACGGAUUGUAAACUUCUUUUAUAAAGGAAUAAAGUGAGGCACGUGUGCCUUUUUGUAUGUACUUUAUGAAUAAGGAUCGGCUAACUCCGUGCCAGCAGCCGCGGUAAUACGGAGGAUCCGAGCGUUAUCCGGAUUUAUUGGUUUUAAAGGGAGCGUAGAUGGGUUGUUAAGUCAGUUGUGAAAGUUUGCGGCUCAACCGUAAAAUUGCAAUUGAUACUGGCAGUCUUGAGUACAGUUGAGGUAGGCGGAAUUCGUGGUGUAGCGGUGAAAUGCGUAGAUAUCACGAAGAACUCCGAUGGCGAAGGCAGCUUACUAAACUGCCACUGACAUUGAGGCGCGAAAGUGUGGGUAUCAAACAGGAUUAGAUACCCCAGUAGUC
rnacentral:rRNA from 1 species